GACAGUAUCCAACCAACCUUGGCUGAUCUUGGACAGCUAAACAUGGUCAGAUUUGUUUAAUAUUUGGAUGGGAGACCACCAGGAAGUUCAAGAGCUAUAGGCU
rnacentral:rRNA from 1 species